UCAAGAGGAAGUAAUGCUUCUCCUUUUCUAGGGUGUUUGAAAUUGAGAACCAGACAGAUCCACACUCAGACCCUAAACAGGGCCCUGAAGUAAAGACAUUGGAUCCCAAAGAUUAUAGGAGUGACAGUGACAACUGUGGAUUGAUCAAGUUCUUUUUAAAAGGGCUGUUUUGAAGAUUAUGAUUCUAACUUUGGAGGAACUAUGGUGAUGAGCAGUGACUGGCAGUGGAAGUAAUCACAUAUAAAAACUCCUUAAAUAAAAAUUUAUUGGCUUUAAAUAAAAAAAAAAAA